rnacentral:lncRNA from 1 species
AUACUCAUUGACCUUCAAACUCCAAUUUUUGAAACAUCAAUCCAUAAAAACUUUUAUAUACUUCAAUCUAAUUGCUUGAUUGACUUUAAAAUCUCAAUACAAAUCAAGCACAAUUAUAUCCACCAACCUACAAAAUUUCACUUGUAGAUCUCUUAUAAAACUUCCAAAAUUGUUCUAAAUGUCAAUCUUUUUAUAUUUAAUAAAACCAAUAUCAUCCUAAAUAACCUUGAUUUUGUCAAGCUCUUCAAAAUUCAAUAGAAGUCCAAAUCAUAAAAAACUAAUUCU